rnacentral:rRNA from 1 species
GAAGCGGCAAAAGCUCAAAUUUGAAAUCUGGCGUCUUUGGCGUCCCAGUUGUAAUUUGAAGAAGGUAUCUUUGGGCCCGGCUCUUGUCUAUGUUCCUUGGAACAGGACGUCACAGAGGGUGAGAAUCCCGUGCGAUGAGAUGACCCGGGUCUGUGUAAAGUUCCUUCGACGAGUCGAGUUGUUUGGGAAUGCAGCUCUAAGUGGGUGGUAAAUUCCAUCUAAACCUAAAUAUUGGCGAGAGACCGAUAGCGAACAAGUACAGUGAUGGAAAGAUGAAAAAAACUUUGAAAAGAGAGUGAAAAAGUACGUGAAAUUGUUGAAAGGGAAGGGCUUGAGAUCAGACUUGGUAUUUUGCAUGCUGCUCUCUCGGGGGCGGCCGCUGCGGUUUACCGGGCCAGCAUCGGUUUGGAGCGGCAGGAUAAUGGCGGAGGAAUGUGGCACGGCUUCUGCUGUGU